rnacentral:misc_RNA from 1 species
ACGUCAUCAAAAACAUGGACCUCUUUAUUGCGAAGAUUUCGCUUGGAGAGAUGAACCUUACGAGACAUGGAGCAGACUUGUGGCAUUGUUAACCUGCUAAAGACUUCAUUAUCCUCAAUUAUUAAGACCUGGAAUACUUUCUGAAGUUUGAUUAGCGCCAGUAUGCCAUUGGAGGGAACAAAUCCUCUCAUAAAUGCCCGCGACAGAUUAUUCCGCGCCCUGUUUUUCAAAAUGGCGCUUAUGUAUGCUCGCUCUUUUCCUCCGCCUGUUCGCCUUCUUUUAGAGAUGGGAGUGCUCAUGAAGGCUAUCACUUGCUUUGUAAUCCUGGGCUACAUACACAAUGCAUUUUCAAGAACUCCCAUAAACUGUUUGGACCACAUAAAGGACCAGUGGCCUAGAGAUGGAGUGCUCAGAGUAGUCAUAUCACGAAAUGCAGCUGUUAGCAGAUUAUCUGAAAAUGAUACAACAAGAACUAAUUUCACUAAUUCUGCUAACAUUACAGAAAAUAUCCUUGUAAAUAUUAGUAAUGUGGGAGCCAGUCUGAAAUCAGAAGAGAAUUAUUCAUCAUCUGUUGGCAAUGUGUAUGAUCAUUCAUCUGAUAAUGUGCCACAGAAGAACCAUCUUCCUGUUAGGGAUACUGUGGUGCCCAGUGCUUUUGAACUGUUAGCACCAAUCAAGAUUGAAGAGGAAAGAAAAGAAGAAUAUGCUGUUGAAUAUGCCUUAGAGUAUGGUUUUCUUAGACUUUCUUCAGAAUCUAGAAAAAAGCUAGGAAUUCCUGUUUUGGUCGUUGAACUUGACCCUGCAGUGGAGCAGUGUUUUGGAGAUAGUUUGAGUCGUUUCUUGUUGGAUGAGUUCCUUGGAUAUGAUGAUGUAUUGAUGUCAAGUGUCAAAAGGCUGGCAGAAUAUGAAGACAACAAAGGUUACCUACGUAAUGUUGUGACUGGAGACCAUUUUCGCUUUGUCAGUAUGUGGAUGGCACGCACAUCAUACUUGGUGGCUCUUGUUCUUAUGUUCAUUUUUACAAUCUCAAUUUCAAUGCUUUUGCGGUAUUGUCAUCAUCAAAUCUUUGUCUUCAUUGUGAAUUUGCUUCAGAUGUUGGACUUAAAUGUGACAAUAGCAUUUCCUGCAGCACCUUUGUUCACAGUUAUUCUCUCUCUUGUGGGGAUGGAAGCUAUCAUGUCAGAGUUUUUUAAUGACACAACAACCAGCUUUUACAUCAUCCUGAUAGUAUGGACAGCUGAUCAAUAUGAUGCCAUUUGCUGUCAUACUCAGCAAAGUAAAAAGUUCUGGCUCAGGUUCUUCUACUUGUAUCAUUUUGCAUUUUAUGCAUAUCAUUAUCGUUUCAAUGGUCAGUACAGUGGACUUGCCCUUGUUACUUCAUGGCUAUUUAUUCAGCAUUCCAUGUUAUUUUUUUUCCAUCACUAUGAAUUACCAGUAAUCCUGAGUCAUCAGGCAGAUCCUGAAGAGGACCUCUUGGCAGAUCCUAUUGCUGCCCUCACUGAUGAGGUCAAUAUGCCUGCUAUAGAUGAACUUGCCAAUCAUCCUCCACUGGAGAAUAAUCCACAGCCUGAUGUACGGAUUAAUGAAUAUGAAAGAGAGGUUCCUCCAAGUAUUAACAGCAGAGAAACAAGUCACUCAACUACUGAAGAAGGAGCUGUUCCAGUCAAUUCAUCAUUAACAAGAAGACACUGGGCAGGUGCAGGCAAUACAGGGGAUGAUACUGAAAGUUAUCAGGGACACCACACAUGGCCACAGCAAUAUGAAGGAAGUGCCAGAACAUCAACAGCCCAAAGCUCAUCUUGAAUGAAAAUUGAGAAAAAGUCUUGCAGUCCCUUUUACUGAGGAAGUCAUAAUCCUGCAGAAGAUGCCCCUCUGUCCAUCAUUAAUUAAUGAAUGACAACUGUGACAGUUUGAAAAUUUGAUUUAAUUAAAUGUCAAUCAUUAGUCAUGUGAAAACUGAGAUGUAUUCACCAGGAUCAUCAACCCAACAUUAUGAUUUCAGUAUACACAAUGAUCUUCCAAUUAGUGUUUGACAUGCAUGUCAAAUGCUUCCUAUUUGAUGUAUAGUACAAUUUAAGUUGAAUACAAUAUUGUCUUGACUAUCCAAGAAGCAAUAUAAUGCUGGUGUACUGUUUGCUUUUAGUGGCUAACCAUCAAGAUAUUACUAUUCAACAAAAUUUCAAAUCUUAUUGGCCACCAUUUAUAGGGGAACUCGAUGAAACAAAUCCCACUGAAGCAGACACUGGGACAGCAAAUAGUAUUUACUAAGCUAAUGGGUCCCAUCUUCCCUAUCUUCACUAAGAUGAAAAGACAGCUUGGCAUCUGGAUGUGGGUGCAUCCUAGUGAAAGAGUCAACCAGGAAAAACUCUUUCUUUCAAUCAGUCUUUAAAUGUUGAGGUCAAGUCGCUGGUAGAACUUUGAAGUUGCUCAAUAUGAUAUUUACACACUCAAACAAACAAGCGAGACUCAAGUGGUAUUAAUACUGAGCAAAUUCCUAACUAUAUAACCUAUAAAAUGAUCUCUUAAUUUACUUUCUUUAUUAACUGCAGUAGUUAAAGAAUUCAGGGGGGGAGGGGGAGUUUUCUAAUGGAACUUAAGCAGCAAACAUGGUUAUUUAAGUAUCACAAAAUGCUUCCAGUGAGUGGGAGCAUUAGUGAAACUUAUAACAUUAAACAUUGAUUGUACAGAAUAUUGUAGAAGUAAACUUUGUGAUGGGGAUGAUUGUAAUAUGUUGUGAAACUUAAUUGAACAUCUGUUGAAGAGAUGCUAUAUACACAGUAUUUUUGCUGUUCCUGUAUUUUUGAAGUUGAUUGGGCAGGCACUUGUACAAAGGCAGUGGUUGAUAUUAGCAUGUCCCAAGAAGCUUGUAUUAUAAUAAAGACUUGAAGUUUA